UCUUAUGUAGAGUAUUCUCGCACUUAACGUCGUACCUUUACGAGCCAUGUGACUCGAUGAUCUAUGGAGCCUAUGUAUGUGGUCCAUCAAAGAUGGAGAUCCUGGACAAGGCAAACUUGCAAGGAAGGGCAAUGAUCCUUGAGGAUGGGCAUGGCCGCAAAGUUGUCUUUUCUCUCCUUCAUGACAUUGAUUAAUGAAAUAUGGAAAUAUGUACAUAGUUAGUAUUAUUUUUUUCUGUCAUUGCUUUAAUGUCUUAACUUAGAUUUCAUAUACUGAAUAUUGACCGUCUUUUCUAAGGAGUGUCUGUUCUUCUGUUUGUAAUGUAGGUUGGAUUUUACAUAGUUAUUUUUGAACAAGAAAAUGCAAUUGCUGUGGCGCCUGCAUUAUGGGUAGAGGAGGUGAAUGGGGUUCUGAUUUGCUACUGGCCCCGUAGAAACGCUGCUGCCAUGGCAAAGGCCUCCCAAAGGCCAGAUAAGGAGCUCUGGAAGCGGCACAAAAUAAGAAUACUCUCCGAGACUGACAACUAUAAGACAGCCAGAGAACGAGCCAAAAAAGCUGUAGAAAGUUCAAACGUGGACACAGAAGAAGAGGUGCUAAAAGAGCGGGAAAAAAAAAGUACCAUCAAAAUACUGGACCGAGAGUGAAGGAGAAUGUGAGAUUCCUACCAAAAAAAGGAGAAAAAUGUCAACAUCCUCUCAGAAGCCAUCAAGCCUCCCAAAGCCUCCAAGUUACAAACCACCUACUGACAUCACAGCUCACUCACCUGAGGAAGAUGAGCCAUCCCUUCCAAAUCUUUCAGCUAAUAAUACUUUUCAUGAUACAGUUUUUGAGCCUGAUGGGAGGUAGCAACAUUGGAGACGCUGUGAGGAGAAUCCUUCGGAAAAUAGCCACCAAUGAGGCCUGGUCAAAUUACAGCCUGAAAGGCCGAAAAGGAAAACUGACCUUCAUUGGGACAGCCCUCCACCAUAUUGUUUUAAGUGCUUGUGCCAAACAAUUUCCGAAACACACAGAAAAGGAAAUUGAUACAUGUAUAGGGGAAACCCUCAAACAUGCACCUCGCCGUGCCAAGUUGGUCGCAACACCUG